GAGAAUCUGCCUAGAGGUCGGGGACAACCAUUGGAAACGAUGGCUAAUACCGGAUAUGCCUUACGGGGUGAAAGAUUAAUCGCCUUUAGAAGAGCUCGCGUCUGAUUAGCUAGUUGGUAGGGUAAAAGCCUACCAAGGCAUCGAUCAGUAGCUGGUCUGAGAGGAUGACCAGCCACACUGGGACUGAGACACGGCCCAGACUCCUACGGGAGGCAGCAGUGGGGAAUUUUCCGCAAUGGGCGAAAGCCUGACGGAGCAAGACCGCGUGAGGGAGGAAGGCUCUUGGGUCGUAAACCUCUUUUGUCAGGGAAGAACAAAAUGACGGUACCUGACGAAUCAGCAUCGGCUAACUCCGUGCCAGCAGCCGCGGUAAUACGGAGGAUGCAAGCGUUAUCCGGAAUUAUUGGGCGUAAAGCGUCCGCAGGUGGCUGAUCAAGUCUGCGGUCAAAGACCGGGGCUUAACCCUGGAAAGGCCGUGGAAACUGAUCAAGCUAGAGUACCGUAGGGGUAGAGGGAAUUCCCGGUGUAGCGGUGAAAUGCGUAGAGAUCGGGAGGAACAUCGGUGGCGAAAGCGCUCUACUGGACGGUGACUGACACUCAGGGACGAAAGCUAGGGGAGCGAAUGGGAUUAGAUACCCCAGUAGUC
rnacentral:rRNA from 1 species